UACGUAGGUGGCAAGCGUUGUCCGGAUUUAUUGGGCGUAAAGCGCGCGUAGGCGGUUACUUAAGUCGGAUGUGAAAGCCCUCGGCUUAACUGAGGAAGUGCACCCGAAACUGAGUAGCUAGAGUACGAAAGAGGGUCGCGGAAUUCCCGGUGUAGAGGUGAAAUUCGUAGAUAUUCGCAAGAACACCAGUGGCGAAGGCGGCUCACUGGUCCGGUACUGACGCUGAGGUGCGAAAGCGUGGGGAGACAAGAGAUAAAGCAAC
rnacentral:rRNA from 1 species